AACGAACGCUGGCGGCAUGCCUAACACAUGCAAGUCGAACGAGACCUUCGGGCCUAGUGGCGCACGGGUGCGUAACGCGUGGGAACCUGCCCUUAGGUUCGGAAUAACUCCCCGAAAGGGGUGCUAAUACAGGAUAAUGUCUUCGGACCUAAGAUUUAUCGCCUUUGGAUGGGCCCGCGUUGGAUUAGCUGGUUGGUAGGGUAAAAGCCUACCAAGGCGAGGAUCCAUAGCUGGUCUGAGAGGAGGAUCAGCCACACUGGGGCUGAGACCCGGCCCAGACUCCUACGGGAGGCAGCAGUGGGGAAUAUUGGACGAUGGGCGCAAGCCUGAUCCAGCCAUGCCGCGUGAGUGAUGAAGGCCUUAGGGUUGUAAAGCUCUUUUACCCGGGAUGAUAAUGACAGUACCGGGAGAAUAAGCACCGGCUAACUCCGUG
rnacentral:rRNA from 1 species